rnacentral:rRNA from 1 species
AUUGAACGCUGGCGGCAGGCCUAACACAUGCAAGUCGAACGAGUGGCGGACGGGUGAGUAAUGUCUGGGAAACUGCCCGAUGGAGGGGGAUAACUACUGGAAACGGUAGCUAAUACCGCAUACCCUCAGAUGUGCCCAGAUGGGAUUAGCUGGUGGGGGGGGUAACGGCUCACCUAGGCGACGAUCCCUAGCUGGUCUGAGAGGAUGACCAGCCACACUGGAACGGAGAAACGGUCCAGACUCCUACGGGAGGCAGCAGUGGGGAAUAUUGCACAAUGGGCGCAAGACGGAUGCAGCCAUGCCGCGGGUGUGAAGAAGGCCUUCGGGUUGUAAAGCACUUUCAGCGGGGAGGCGUUACCCGCAGAAGAAGCACCGGCUAACUCCGUGCCAGCAGCCGCGGUAAUAC